CAGAUGCUGAUCCCAUAGUUGGUGUGGUUUACCUAGAUUUCAGCAAAAUAUUUUAGGAAGUCUCUCAUGCUAUUAUUAUUCUUGUGAACAAGAUAGAUAAAAGCGUGCUAGAGGAUAUUAUAGUUAGUUGGAUUCUGAAUGGUUGAAUUGCUGCAAACAAGGAGUAGUUGUAUUAUUAUUCACUUGAAAAGAGGUAUCUAGUAGAGGGCCUUAGGGAUCUCUCAUUGACCCUGAACUGUUUAGUAAUGACCUAGAUAAAGAUAUAGAUGGCUUCUUUAUUGAAUUUUCAGACAAUGCUAAGCCAGUCCUGACUUAUCUGACUGAUAGGAGACAAAAAGAUUUUGACAGGAUAGAUUGUUACCUGAGUCUAUCAUGAUGAAAGGUAAUGGGAGUAAGAGUAAAAUUUUAUACUUGGAUUCAAAAGUUUCAACAUGGCAACCAUUAUGAUUAUUAUGGUUACAUUAUUAGAGGCAGAGUGUCUUGGACAAGGGAGACUAUAGUCUUGCUCUAUAAUCUAUCCUAAGAGACCACAUCUGGAGUAUUGCAUUCAGUUCUAGAUAAACUGGCAGAUGUCCCAAGGAGAGUGGUCAGGAUGGUGAAUGGGUUCCAAUUCAUACCCUAUAAAGAUCAGUUGUAGAAACUGGGACUAUUUAGUCUGGAGCAAGAUGAUUGACAAGGUACAUGAUAGCUGUCUUCAAGCAUUUAAAGGAUUCUCAUGGAUGCCAAUCUAGAAGAAGAAGAAGAAGAAGAAGAAGAAGAAGAAGAAGAAGAAGAAGAAGAAGAAGAAGAAGAAGAACAACAACAACAACAACAACAACAACAACAACAACAACAACAACAACAAGAACAAGAACAACAAGAACAAGAACAAGAGCAAGAGCAAGAGCAAGAACAAGAGCAAGAACAACAACAAGAACAAGAGCAAGAACAACAACAACAACAACAACAACAAGAGCAAGAACAAGAACAAGAACAAGAACAAGAAGAACAAGAACAAGAGAAUAAGAAUAUGGACUGGCCACCAUGCACUGGCAAAGAACUCCCUGCUCCAGCCUGA
rnacentral:lncRNA from 1 species